rnacentral:rRNA from 1 species
UACAUAGGGUGCGAGCGUUAAUCGGAAUUACUGGGCGUAAAGCGUGCGUAGACGGUAGCGUAAGUCAGAUGUGAAAGCCCCGGGCUCAACCUGGGAAUUGCAUUUGAGACUGCUCUGCUCGGGUGCGGAAGAGGGAAGCGGAAUUUCCGGUGUAGCGGUGAAGUGCGUAGAUAUCGGAAGGAACACCAGUGGCGAAAGCGGCUUCCUGGUCCGACACCGACGGUCAGGCACGAAAGCGUGGGGAGCAAACAGG